UGGGGGAUAUUGCACAAUGGGGGAAACCCUGAUGCAGCGACGCCGCGUGAGUGAAGAAGUAUUUCGGUAUGUAAAGCUCUAUCAGCAGGGAAGAAAAUGACAGUACCUGACCAAGAAGCCCCGGCUAACUACGUGCC
rnacentral:rRNA from 1 species